rnacentral:rRNA from 1 species
ACGAACGCUGGCGGCGUGCUUAACACAUGCAAGUCGAACGGAAAGGCCCUGCUUUUGUGGGGUGCUCGAGUGGCGAACGGGUGAGUAACACGUGAGUAACCUGCCCUUGACUUUGGGAUAACUUCAGGAAACUGGGGCUAAUACCGGAUAGGAGCUCCUGCUGCAUGGUGGGGGUUGGAAAGUUUCGGCGGUUGGGGAUGGACUCGCGGCUUAUCAGCUUGUUGGUGGGGUAGUGGCUUACCAAGGCUUUGACGGGUAGCCGGCCUGAGAGGGUGACCGGCCACAUUGGGACUGAGAUACGGCCCAGACUCCUACGGGAGGCAGCAGUGGGGAAUAUUGCACAAUGGGCGGAAGCCUGAUGCAGUAACGCCGCGUGCGGGAUGACGGCCUUCGGGUUGUAAACCGCUUUCGCCUGUGACGAAGCGUGAGUGACGGUAAUGGGUAAAGAAGCACCGGCUAACUACGUG